UACGGAGGGGGCAAGCGUUGUUCGGAAUUACUGGGCGUAAAGGGCGCGCAGGCGGCUGCUCAAGUCAGGCGUGAAAGGCCUGGGCUCAACCCGGGAAUUGCGCUUGAGACUGGGCUGGCUUGAGUGCGGGAGAGGAUGGUGGAAUUCCCAGUGUAGAGGUGAAAUUCGUAGAUAUUGGGAAGAACACCGAUGGCGAAGGCAGCCAUCUGGACCGACACUGACGCUGAGGCGCGAAAGCGUGGGGAGCAAACAGG
rnacentral:rRNA from 1 species